GCAAACUUGGUCAUUUAGAGGAAGUAAAAGUCGUAACAAGGUCUCCGUAGGUGAACCUGCGGAGGGAUCAUUAUUAGGUCCCCGCGUUAGUAGCGGACCUUCCACCCCUGCAAUCGAUAUGGCUGUUGCCCUAGUCGGCCCAACCCAGGUCCCUAGGGGCUUACACACUACUAUAUGAGAUCGUCAGAGCCUAUUAGGAAUGCGAAAACUUUCAACAACGGAUCUCUUGGUUCUGGCAUCGAUGAAGAACGCAGC
rnacentral:misc_RNA from 1 species